rnacentral:tRNA from 1 species
GCGUUGAUGGUGUAAUGCUUAGCAUUGUUGCCUUCCAAGCAGUAGAUCUGGGUUCGAUUCCCGGUCAACGCA